UACGUAGGGUGCAAGCGUUGUCCGGAAUUAUUGGGCGUAAAGCGCACGUAGGCGGCUUUGUAAGUCGGAUGUGAAAUCCCUCGGCUUAACCAAGGAAGUGCAUCCGAAACUACAGAGCUUGAGUACUUAAGAGGAUCGCGGAAUUCCCGGUGUAGAGGUGAAAUUCGUAGAUAUCGGGAGGAACACCAGUGGCGAAGGCGGCGAUCUGGGAAGAUACUGACGCUGAGGUGCGAAAGCGUGGGGAGCAGACAGG
rnacentral:rRNA from 1 species